rnacentral:rRNA from 1 species
CGGAGGGGCUAGCGUUGUUCGGAAUUACUGGGCGUAAAGCGCACGUAGGCGGACUGGAAAGUUGGGGGUGGAAAUCCCGGGGGCGUCAACCUCGGAACUGCCUUCAAAACUAAUCGGUCUGGAGUUCGAGAGAGGUGAGUGGAAUUCCGAGUGUAGAGGUGAAAUUCGUAGAUAUUCGGAGGAACACCAGUGGCGAAGGCGGCUCACUGGCUCGAUACUGACGCUGAGGUGCGAAAGCGUGGGGGAGCAAACAGGAUU